GGAAGUUUGGCAGAGUGGCUAAAUGCAAGUGACUUAAAAUCUCUCAGUCGGCGAAAUCCGGCUCGCAGGGUUCGAAUCCCUCAGCUUCCG
rnacentral:tRNA from 1 species